GAUGAACGCUGGCGGCGUGCCUAAUACAUGCAAGUCGAGCGAACAGACGAGGAGCUUGCUCCUUUGACAUUAGCGGCGGACGGGUGAGUAACACGUAGGUAACCUACCUAUAAGACUGGGAUAACUUCGGGAAACCGGAGCUAAUACCGGAUAAUAUUUCGAACCGCAUGGUUCGAUAGUGAAAGAUGGCUUUGCUAUCACUUAUAGAUGGACCUGCGCCGUAUUAGCUAGUUGGUAAGGUAACGGCUUACCAAGGCAACGAUACGUAGCCGACCUGAGAGGGUGAUCGGCCACACUGGAACUGAGACACGGUCCAGACUCCUACGGGAGGCAGCAGUAGGGAAUCUUCCGCAAUGGGCGAAAGCCUGACGGAGCAACGCCGCGUGAGUGAUGAAGGUCUUCGGAUCGUAAAACUCUGUUAUUAGGGAAGAACAAACGUGUAAGUAACUGUGCACGUCUUGACGGUACCUAAUCAGAAAGCCACGGCUAACUACGUG
rnacentral:rRNA from 1 species